rnacentral:lncRNA from 1 species
AGCGGGUGAGCGACCGAGAGCCGGAGAUUUGGUGCAGGAGCUUCCUGCAGGGGCCGGACCGUGGUGGGGACAGCCUGUGGGCCGGGGAAGGAAUGGGAGCAGGGUCAGCUCGGCGCCUGCCCCGGACCUCCAGCUGAGAGCCCCCUGCAUUUCUUCCUCGCCCGUCUUUCAGCUCCUGGAGGAGAAUGACCAGCUGAUCCGCUGUAUCGUGGAGUAUCAGAAUAAGGGCCGAGCGAACGAGUGCGUCCAGUAAGUGCCACUGGGGACGCGCGGCAGCCUUGGGUGACAAACCGACGAGAAAGGGGAGGUGCGGAAGAGGUUACUUGGCUUGAGUGGUGCUGCAUGCCUGUAAUCUUUGCACUGGGCAGGUUGCGGCCGGAGGAUGGCCUGUGCUCCGCCCUCUAAAGGUUAUUUACUUACUACUCAAAUCCAUAUUGACAGUUUAUGGUAAGAACCUGGAGUUAGUCAGGGUUUCACACAAAGCCCUGUCAGCUGGUGACAGAGGAAAGUGUCUCAAAGCUAGGCUCCGUGAGAGCCUUGGUCUCUUUAUUCGUGGAUUUCACUUCCAUCCCCCAAAAGUAAUCAGGCCAUUUUGUUAACCAGCACUCAGUCAGUCUGUGGGAGAUACGACCAAAAAAGGGAUUUCUACGUUAAACCAGAUGUCGGAAUGGGAAGAAACAGAAUCUGAGACCCUUUUCUAAAUUUGGUCCAAGAACUAGGUCCCAUUUCUUAUAGACAAUGCGGUAUCGUUACUUAAGUAUUUUUAACACCCCCCCCCUUGCCUCUUAAAAAGUCACUUACAACCAUUCUCUAAGCAUCUUAAUGGAACAGCAGAAUUGCCAUUUUGCGGUGUUUAUGUUUGACUCCAGCAUUUGAGGUUUGCCUUUUUACAUUUUAAACACGUUCUCAUGUUUAGAAAAUGCCUGCAGACAUGCUUUUUGGUAUACUGACUCUUGUGCAAAGAUACAAAGGUCCUACAAAUUUAUUCUGUUUCUUCACAUUGUGAAGGUCGAACUUCUCAAGUCUAAUGACUUCCUGAAUGGGCAGCAAUUGACAGUGGCUAUGUCAUGUGCUUACUUUGGUCAUACAAGGGCCUCCUUUAUUCUAAUCCCCCCCACCCCCCACAAAUGCACAAAGGUUUCCCUGUGUAGCCCUGGCUGUCCCAGUACUUGCUCUGUAGUCCAGGUUGACUGUGAAGUCAGAAAUUCCCACUGCCUCUGCCUCCCAUGUGCUGGGACUAAGAUGUACCACCACACCCAGCAGUGGUACUACAGACAAGGAGGCAUUGUAUGGUGAAUAGGAAACACGAGAUUCCUACUCUCUGUGGAGCUGACAUUCUAGACUCUAGUACCAGAGUGGAGAAAUAAAAUAGACAUGUAAGAAUAUGUGCUUUAAAUGGAAUAAAGGCAGGGCAUGCCUGUCAUGUAUAGGAAGCCCUGGGUUCACUUUCUAGCACUGCAGAAAUCAGGUAGGGUAAGUAGAAGACAGGGUGCAGAGUGUCCUUCAUGAGGUAACAUUGAGAGAAGCCUGAGCCCCAGAAAUAAAUAAGGCAGGCCAAAGGUGCUGGAUAUCCUCAGGCAUACCGAGGAGGCCCCUGUGUUCAGAUCUCAGUGAAGGGAAAGCCACAGGAGAUGAGGACACAGAAGUGACUAGAGACCCCGUCACAUAAGACCUUGUAGGAAUGUGAUGGCAUCUUUAAGGGUUUUAGAACAGUUACAUUCCAGGAUCCUGAUUUAAACUGCUGUCAUCACUCCAGCUCUGUAGAAUACAGCGGGGCUGCAAUAUAGGAGAUGAGGAGACUGCUGUUGUAGUCCAGGCCAAAAAGGCAUAGUUGUUUGAUCUCGAGGGGCAGAUGUGGGAGUGAAAAUGGCCGAGAUUCUAAGUUUAACGAGGUUGGGAAAGCCUGGUGUGGUGGUAUACUUGGGGAGCCAGAGACAGAUGGAUCUCCUGACUUUGAAGACAGCCAAGGCUAUAGUAAGACCAUUUGGUUGAUGACCUGUGACACUGAGUCAGAGGGAAAGCUGUUCUGCCUCAGUGGGUUUAAUUAGUCUGCCUGGUGAAUAAAAACAAGCAUCUAAUUUCUGUUUUUCACCCAUAGGUAUCAGCAUGUGUUACAUAGAAAUCUCAUUUAUUUAGCUACCAUCGCAGACGCCAACACAAGCAGUCUCACAAAGGCAGUGGAGUAGUUUUCCAGAAGGCUGUAAUGAGGACUGAUUGGAACCCAUCUCCUGGGAAUCAGAGAGCUGCUCAGAACAUGGGCAAAAAGUCCCAUUCAUUUUAGACUGUGAAGAAACUCGCUACCAACUCUACUGUAUUCUGACUAUAAAUAUUUAUUAAUAAAACAGAUCCCACGG